rnacentral:snoRNA from 1 species
UCGUCUUUGGCCACGCUCGAUCACGCAGCCCUUUGGGGCCUUGGUGUGCUGAUCUUGAGCUGGAUGCUCGCGGCCCUCGGGCGGCGAGUACGAGACAAGAGUGACUCCCAGGCAACGCUUUUUGAGUACGGAACCUUCCAGUGUCUAUUUUAGCGCAUGAAGGAUUUCGUAAUUUAUCAGUUGCCACAUUU